rnacentral:lncRNA from 1 species
AUGUUUGUACGGGCUAUGUUUGUACUGGGACUCAGGCUACACUUUUGCAGGUUAAUUAUCCACACAUCUGCUGCUGGGGGAAGUAAGCUAAGGAUGUUUUUGAAACAGGACUGCAGAGGAGUCCUUGGUCUUUCCGGUCCUCAAAGGAGAUCUGUUGUAUUUGUUCUUGUGCUUUUGAAUCUAACCAUUAAGAAAACUGUGGGAGACCAACUCCUAACUUCCACAAAUGACCCCAAGAUGACUGAAGCUCAAACCACCCAACCCACCACAACCAUCAGCAAACUGUAUCCUAUAUGCACAACCAGGUCAAAGACUGAAAACAGCCAAACCAUUCACACCACCACUGUCCCUCCAGGAAGAGACUACUACAAUACAGACCGCAACAAAGAAGUCUUCCCUACAUCCCAGACUGGGGGAGAAUACACCAGAGCUCAAGAUUACAUCACAAACAUCUCUACACUCAAGACUGAGAGAAACGACACAGAAGAUGAUAUUAACGUCACCCAUUCUUUCAAGAAUGAGAUGGUGAAGUAUAGUGAUGUCAUACCAACAUCUCAGUCCAAUGGAAACCAUACUCAAGAUGGGGGCAAGGACUUUGAUGACCAAGGCUCCAUUGCCUCCGAUAUGACCCAAACUGAGAACUAUAAUAUCACCACAGAGCCUACCACUACAGCUACUGCAAGAUCCACAAUGGGAGGCAUGACUGUAAAUGCUGCUUUAACCAGAAAGAAGAUGAGGUCUUGUAAAAUAUUUAGCUGUAUCGGCAUAACAUGCUACAAACAUGUGAAGGUCAUGGAGGAGUUGUGUGAGGAGGGUAUGGACUUCUGUGAGCUCAAGAAAGCCUCAAGCCAGGUCACCUGGAAUACAUACGUGGCGGUGUGGAGUGCUGGAUGCGCCAGAGACUGCAGACAGAGCACUAAGUGUGGUCCCUUCAGCUCGUACCAAUGCCACAAUGAGUGUUGUGUGGCUGGGUCUGUCUCCUGUCUCAGACUGGAUGGUUCUCUCAACAUGCCUGUCAACUCUGCCUGCUGUGGCCUGGGGAGUCUCUCCCUCCUGGCUCUGAGUGUAACCUCUCUACUGGACAAUCUACUCAACACUUGCUAAUUUACUAACCUUCAUGUGACAUUAGACUCACUUUAGAAUGCAGAGAGUUUAGUAUGGAUCGACUAAAUGCAUAUUUCAGUUUUGUCAUAUCCACUGCUUGGGCGUCAUUAGUUCUUUCAUGUUUUCUUCAUCUGUGAAUGCAAGCUCUUGUGAAAAUAAAACUGUUUUCCAGCUUUAUGUUGUUCUUAAAUAACACAUCCCAACCUCUAGUGGAUCCAGUCAUGGGUUUGAG